UACGUAGGUGGCAAGCGUUGUUCGGAAUCAUUGGGCGUAAAGCGCGCGUAGGCGGCCCGGUAAGUCCGCUGUAAAAGUCAAAGGCUCAACCUUUGAAUGUCAGUGGAUACUGCCGGGCUAGAGUCCGGAAGAGGCGAGUGGAAUCCCGUGGUGUACGGUGGAAUGCGCAGAUAUCGGGAGGAACACCAGUAGCGAAGGCGGCUCGCUGGGCCGCACCUGACGCUGAGACGCGAAAGCUAGGGGAGCGAACAGG
rnacentral:rRNA from 1 species